rnacentral:rRNA from 1 species
UACGGAGGGGGCUAGCGUUGUUCGGAAUUACGUGGGCGUAAAGCGCGCGGUAGGCGGCUUUGUAAGUCAGAGGAUGAAAGCCUGGAGCUACAACUCCAGAACUGCCUUUGAAACUACAUCGCUAGAAUCAUGGAGAGGUUAGUGGAAUUCCGAGUGUAGAGGUGAAAUUCGUAGAUAUUCGGAAGAAACACCAGUGGCGAAGGCGACUAACUGGACAUGUAUUGACGACUGAGGUGCG